rnacentral:snRNA from 1 species
AUACUUACCUGGCACAGGAGUUAACCGUGAUCACGAAGGCGGUUCUCCAGGGCGAGGCUGCGCCAUUGCACAAGGGCGCGGUUGACCUCUGCGAGUAUCUCAAAUGCAGAUACCUCGGGUGUGUAAUUUUUGAUAGUCGGGCUAGCGUACGCGCUGGCCCGG